UGGGAAGUACGCAAAUAGGCAAAGCGGCUUGACUUUGAAUCAGGUGUUUGAGGGUUCGAUUCCUUCCUUCCCAG
rnacentral:tRNA from 1 species